GAGGGAUUGGCCGGGUCUGGGUGAAGGGGAUCACGGCCUGGGGAUUGGAGGGGCACAUCUUCUCCGCACCGAGGAUCUCAGCGACUGCGAGCACGGCUCGGAGACCCACGGUGGUGCAGCGUUGGGGCGCCAGGGCUGCGUUCCCGUCUCGCGUCCCGGACUGAGAAGAAAUACUUUCAGAGCUCUUUCAUUCAUCCUGACAAUGGCCAGAGAAGAGCCACUGACAAGACUUUAAGCAAGAGACGGAGAGUUAACAUCUAAUCUGGAGGAAGACCCUGGAAGGAGCCAGCCCCUUCCCCCAGGCUGACCUGGUUUAAGCCUUUCUUCUGCCAAGGUCACCAGCACCCCAGAUGGGUGAGAGAUGUGAUCACUGGUUUCGUGGCCUGACCAAGGACCUCCAAGGAGGUAUCUUUCCCAUCUUGGCCCACAGAGGAGGAAAUCCUAGAAGGGAUGACUGAAGCUUGGGACUAACACAUUGGUGGAUCUGUGCUACCCCCUGCUGGCCGUAGACGGUAUGACAGCCAAGAUAGGGCAAGGCUUCGAGGGGCGAUGGAUGGAUUCACCGCAGCGGCGACAUUUCUGGACUGUUGUCACCUUCAGUGCAGUCACUGGGAAUAUUCAGAACCCAGGUGAUUGAUAAGGUUUUCCCAGGGAUCUCUUCUCUCCCCUUCACCAUUACUCAGUAGGAGCUUCCUUAAAAACGGAAAACGAGAGGCCGGGCGCGGUGGCUCACGCCUGUAAUCCCAGCACUUUGGGAGGCGGAGGCGGGCGGAUCACGAGGUCAGGAGAUCGAGACCAUCCUGGCUAACACAACCCCGUCUCUACUUAAAAUACAAAAAAUUAGCCGGGCGUGGUGGCACGCGCCUGUAGUUCCAGCUACUCAGGAGGCUGAGGCAGGAGAAUCGCUUGAACCCGGGAGGCAGAGGAGGUUGCAGUGAGCUGAGAUGGCGCCACUGCACUCCAGCCUGGCCGACUGAGACUCCAUCUCAAAAAAAAAAAAAAAAAAAGGAAAAAGGGGCCGGGCGCGGUGGCUCACGUCUAUAAUCCUAGCACUUUGGGAGACCAAGGCGGGCAGAUCACGAGGUCAGGAAUUUGAGACUAGUGUGGCCAACAUGGUGAAACCCCAUCUCUACUAAAAAUACAAAAAAUUAGCCGGGUGUGGUGGCGCAUGCCUGUAAUCCUAGCUACUCGGGAGGCCGAGGCAGGAGAAUCGCUUGAACCCAGGAGGCCGAGGUUGCAGUGAGCCGAGAUCACGCCAUUGCACUCCAGCCUGGGCGACAGAGCAAGACUCCGUCUUGAGGGAAAAAAAAAAAAAAAAGAAAAAGGGGCCAGGCACCUGUAAUCCCAGCACUUUGGGAGGCUGAGGAGGGAAGAUCGCUAAAACCCAGGAGUUCAAGACCAGCCUGGGCAACAUGGUGAGACCCCAUCUCUACAAAAAAUGCAAAAAAAAAAAAAACAAAAACAAAAAAAAAAACAGCUGGGCAUGAUGGUGCGCACCUGUAGUCCCAGCUACUCGGGAGGCUGAGGUGGGAGGAUUAUUUGAGCCUGAGAGGUCAAGGCUGCAGUGAGCCAAGAUCGCAUCACUGCACUCUAGCCUGGGUAACAGAGCAAGACCCUGCCUCAAAAAAAAAAAAAAAAAAGGAAAAAGGUUAUUACACAGUUCAAAAGAGAAACAAAGUGCAAAAGCAUGUGCAAAGAAAGUAAAGUCCCUCCUGGCCAAGUGCGAUGGCUCAAGCCUGUAAUCUCAACACCCUGGGAGGCUGAAGUGGGUAGAUCAUUUGAGGUCUGGAGUUUGAGACCAGCCUGGCCAACAUGGUGAAACCCCGUCUCUACUAAAAAUAUAAAAAUUAGCUUGGCGUAGUGGCGGGUGCCUGUAAUCCCAGGUACUCGGGAGGCUGAGGCAGGAGAAUCACUUGAACUUGGGAGGCGGAGGGUGCCGCGAGCCAAGAUCACGCCAGUGCACUCUAGCCUGGGCAACAGAGCAAGACUCCAUCUCGAAGGAAGGAAGGAAGGAAGGAAGGAAGGAAGGAAGGAAGGAAGGAAGGAAGGAAGGAAGGGGAAAGAAAGGAAAGAUCUCUUGCCAAUCAGCCUCCCUGUUGCCCUGUUUCCCAUUCCCUCCCCAGAGGCAACCACUCUUAACAGUUUUUUUGUUUUUGUUUUUGUUUUUUUUUAGACAGAGUCUCACUCUGUUGCCCAGGCGGCUGGAGUGCAGUGGUGUGAUCUCAGCUCACUGCGACCUCCGCUUCCCAGAUUCAAGCAAUUCUCCUGCCUCAGCCUCCUGAGUAGCUGGGACUACAGGUGUGUGCCACCACGUUCAGCUAAUUUUUGUAUUUUUAGUAGAGACGGGGUUUCACCAUGUUGGCCAGGCUGGUCUUGAACUCCUGACCUCAAGUGAUCCACCCGCCUUGGCCUCCCAAAGUGCUGGGAUUACAGGUGUGAGCCACCGCGCCUGGCCUCUUAACAGUUCUAAUGUAUCUUUGCAGAGCUAUUUGGAGCAUAUGCUGUGUAUAUGUGCGUGUGUGUGUGACACAAAUGAUAGCACACGCUCUACACUGUUCAGCACCUGCUAUUUUCAUGUCAUAAUAUACCUGCCUGUAGAUAGUCAACAUAGUUUUCCAUCGUAUGGUGUGUCACAAUUUAUUUACCAUUCCCCUCCUAGUGGAUAUUUAUGUAUGUCCGCCUUUUAUUACUACAAACAAUGCUAAUUACAGGAAAUAUCUUGGUACAUAUAUUUGCAGACAUAUGUGUGUGUGUGAAAUAAAUUUAUAAGUAUGGCAAUUCUGGGUCAAAGAUUAUGUGCUCUUAAAUGUUUUAUAGGUUUUCACAGAAUUGCCCUCCAAAAAUUUUGUACCAAUUUACAAUCCCCAACAACGGAUGAGAUCACCUGUUUCCCCAAAUCCUCACAAACAGGUUAAUAUCAGGCCUUUUGAUCUUAGGUGAUGACUCUUUAAAAGUCCUGCUCACAGAGCAGUUGAUGAUCUGUCUUUUUCUUUGGGCCGCGGGUUUCUCCAAGGAAGGGACUGUGUCUUUCUCAUACCUACAUCCCCAGUGAAGGACUUGACACCAUCCUUGGGAGUUACUCAAGAAGUGUCUGCUAAAUAUUGAGUGAAAGAAACAGAGCUGCAUUUUGGCAGGCUGGGAGGGAGAGGGUAAAAGGUUAGGUUUGAACAGGAGGCCUGCUUUUUUUUUUUUUUUUUGAGAUGGAGUCUCACUCUGUUGCCCAGGCUGGAGUGCAGUGGCGCGAUCUCAGCUCACUGCAACCUCCAAGGAGGACUGCUCUUUAGGGCCACUUUCUCUUCCAGACCCUGGUCAAGCCUCUGCCCCAAAUCCAAAAGCCUUCCUCUUGCAGGAGCCUCCCAGGUUGCAAGGUCUGAGGUUGAAGGCCCAGAACUCCCAGUGCAGCUUUCACCCAGCUCUGCUGCAUUCCAGGGAUGGGCCCCAUCAUCCCCAAGCUGCCUGAGAACUGGAAACAAACUAGGUGUCCAGCUUUAGGGGAUCAGUUAAACCACUGUCCUAUAGAACUUUCUGCAAUGAUGAAAAUGUUCUCUAUCUGCCCUGUCCAAUAUGGCAGCCACUGGCCACUCGUAGCUACCGAGUAUUCAAGCUGUAGCUAGUUCAACUAAGGAAAUAAAUAAAUGUUACUUAAUUUUAAUUAAUUUCCAUUUAAGUAGCCAUGUGUGGCUACAUAUUGGACAGUGAAGGGUUCAGUAAAUUAUGAUAUAGCCCCACAAUGGAAAACUAUGCAGCUGUAAAAAAAAAAAAUAAUAAGGAUGCCAAGAAAAAUGGAAAGAUCUUCAGGAUAUAUUUUGAAACAAAAAUGUGGUACAGGCUGUGUGCAGUGGCUCACGCCAAUAAUCCCAGCACUUUGGGAGGCCAAGGUGAGAGGCCGAGGCAGGAGGAUCACUUGAGUCCAGGGGUUCAAGACCAGCCUGGUCAACAUAAUGAGACUUCCGUCUCUACAGAAAGUGAAAAAAAAAAAAAAGACAGCAUGGUGGUAUAUGAAUGUAGUCCCAUCUACUCAGGAAGCUGAGGUGGGAGGAUUGCUUGAGCCAGGGAAGUUGAGGCUGCAGUAAGCUGUGAUUGUGCCACCACACUCCAGCCUGUGUGACAGAGCAAGACCCCAUCUAAAAAAAAAAAAAAAGGCCAGGCACGAUGGCUCACACAUGUAAUCCCAGCACUUUGGGAGGCCGAGGACCGUGGAUCACCUGAGGUUGGGAGCUCAAGACCAGCCUGACCAACAUAGAGAAACCUCAUCUCUACUAAAAACACAAAAUUAGCUGGGUGUGGUGGCACAUGCCUAUAAUCCCAGCUACUCAGAAGACUGAGGCAGAAGAACCACUUGAACCCAGGAGGCGGAGGUUGCGGUGAGCCAAGAUAGUGCCAUUGCACUUCAGCCUGGGUAACAAGAGCGAAACUCUGUCUCAAAAAAAAAAAUGUGGUUCAGAACAGUAUACAUAGUAUGUCAUCUUUUUUGAAAGAAAGGCAGGUAGGCCGGGCGCAGUGGCUCACACCUGUAAUCCCAGCACUUUGGGAGGCCGAGGUGGGCGGAUCACGAGGUCAGGAGAUUGAGACCAUCCUGGCUAACGCGGUGAAACCCUGUCUCUACUAAAAAUACAAAAAAUUAGCCGGGCGUAGGUGGUGCACUCCUGUAGUCCCAGCUACUCGGGAGGCUGAGGCAGGAGAAUGGCGUAAAACCCGGGAGGCUGAGCUUGCAGUGAGCCAAGAUCGCGCCACUGUACUUCAGCCUGGGAGACAGAGCGAGAUUCCGUCUCAAAAAAUAAAAAAAAAAGAAAAAGAAAGGCAGGUAGAGGAGGCUGGAUGUGGUGGCUCAUGCCUGUAAUACCAGCACUUUGGGAGGCCAAGGGGGACAGAUCACUUGCAGAAAUGUGAGACCGGCCUGGACAACAUGGUGAAACCCCAUCUCUACACAAAAUACAAAAAUUAGUUGGACGUGGUAGUGCGCACCUGUAGUCCCAGCUACUCAGGAGGCUAAAGUGGGAGGGUUGCUUGAGCUGGGGAAGUCAAGGCUGCAGUGAGCCAAGAUUGCACCACUGCACUCCAGCAGGGGUGACAGAGGGAGACAGCAGGAGUGACAGAGUGAGACCCUGUCUCAAAAAAAAAAAGAAAAGAGCUUUGCACAGUGGUAGUAUCGUAGCCAAUGAAUGAAAGGGAGGUGGAAAUAAAAAUAAAUGUUUAUAUUUGCUUGAAUUUGCAUAGGGAAAGCAAUAACAGUGGGUGACCUAUAGGGAGCUGGGGAAUCCUGUUGCGGGGGUAGGCAAGGACAGGGUGGGAACAGAGCUUUCCAGUGAAUUUCUUUAUAUUUCAUUUUGGUUGUUGAAACAUGUACAUAUAUUACCUAUUCAAAAAGUUAAAUUAAGGUCAGGUGCAGUGGCUCAUGCCCGUAAUCCCAGUACUUUGGGAGGUUGAGGUAGGAGGAUCACUUUACCCCAGGAGUUGGAGACCAGCCUGGGCAAUAUAGUGAGACCUCCUUUCUACAAAAAGUUUACAAAUUAGCCAUAAGCCAG
rnacentral:lncRNA from 10 species